rnacentral:rRNA from 1 species
GUCUAUGGCCAUGCUGCCCUGAACAAGCCCGACCCCAUCUGAUCUCAGAAGCUAAACAGGGUUGAGCCUGGUUAGAACUUGGAUGGGAGACUGCCUAGAAAGACCAGGUGCUGUAGGCG